rnacentral:RNase_P_RNA from 1 species
ACACGAUGCCGGAUAACUUCCGGCCAGGGAAGGGAUUGAUCCGGAAACGGGUUUUCCUGGAACCUGAGGGAAAGUGCCACAGAAAGCAGACCUCCGCAGCAUGCUGCGGGAAGGGUGAAAGGGUGGGGUAAGAGCCCACCGCACCUCCGGCAACGGCGGUGGCAGGGCAAACCCCAUCGGGAGCAAGACCGAAUAGGGACAACGCGCCAGCCCGAAAGGGCAGGCAGGCAUGUUUUCAAGCCAGUUGUCCGGGUGGGUCGCGCCGAGGCAUCCGGUAACGGAUGUCCCAGAGGAAUGGCCGCCGCGUCCGUGCAGGAAACUGCAUGGGCCAUACAGAACCCGGCUUACAGGCCGGCUGGUGCU